rnacentral:misc_RNA from 1 species
AAGUCGUAACAAGGUUUCCGUAGGUGAACCUGCGGAAGGAUCACUAAAGAGAACUUGCCCUUCGGGGUAGAUCUCCCACCCUUUGUUUAUCAUACUUUGUUGCUUUGGCGGGCCUGCCUCACGGCUGCUGGCGCAAGCUGGCUCGUGCCCGCCAGAGACCCCCAAACUCUGAAUAUUGUCGUCUGAGUAAUAUAUAAUAAGUUAAAACUUUCAACAACGGAUCUCUUGGUUCUG